rnacentral:rRNA from 1 species
UUCUAGUUCGCACGAAGGAUCGGGGAGUCAUUCCACGGGGUGUCUGCCUAUGGUGGAGGAUACCCCGGGAAACUGGGGAUAAUACUCCAUAAGUCAGGAGUACUGGAAUGUCUCCUAACUGAAAGUUGCGGCGCCAUAGGAUGAAUCUGCGGCCGAUUAGGUAGUUGUUGGGGUAACGGCCCAACAAGCCUGUUAAUCGGUUACGGGUUGUGGGAGCAAGAGCCCGGAGAUGGAAUCUGAGGCACGAUUCCAGGCCCUACGGGGCGCAGCAAGAAGAGCCAACUAUACAAUGCAGGAAACUGUGAUUACGGGAACCCCGAGUGCCCGUAACGCCGGGCUGUCCCGGUGUUUAAAACACAUCGGAAGAUAGGGCCGGGCAAGACCGGUGCCAGCCGUCGCGGUAAUACCGGCGGCUCGAGUGGUGACCACUUUUAUUGGGCUUAAGCGUUCGUAGCUUGAUUUUUAAGUCUCUUGGGAAAUCUCACGGCUUAACUGUGAGGCGUCUAAGAGAUACUGGGAAUCUAGGGACCGGGAGAGGUAGAGUACUUCAGGGGUAGAAGUGAAAUCUGUAUCCUGAGGACCACGAUGGCGAAGCAUCUACAGACGGCUCGACAGUGAGACGAAGCUGGGGACGACGGAUAGAACCCGUAGUCAGCGUACAGCCGUAGUGCUUACACGAUACGGUCAUGAACUGACUGCCUGGAUCGUCAGUACUAGAUGCGGGACCAGGGACGGUAGUCCGGCCUCAUAUCAUAUACGGUAUCUACUAAGUG